GGACAAGAGGAAACAUAAAGAGAUGAUGAGAUAAAGGUUAAGGUUUUGUGCCCCUUUUGCGUGGAAGAUUUCGAUGUCGUUGGGGUAUAAUUUUGCAAAGAACAGGCAUUGUGUAAAGAUGCAACCUUUCAAGUUGUGUUUUAUUCGCUGUAAAUGAACCUGUAAGUUCAAUCUGAAGUACAGCCCCUGUGGUCAAAGUAGGCUCAGGGAGAUUUUCCUUAUGCAGGAUAAUCUUAUCCAAGGUCGUUUCCUUGAUGAGCUGACAAAACAAGUGUUUUCUGAUCUUUCUGCCAAUAAAUAUCAGAUCAAGAGGAGCCUCACAUGAAAAGGAAGGUGCUUGCUGAGGCCAAAUUAAGGAUGGGGAUUGAUUGAGAUUGAAGUUGUAUGAGUAACGUAGCCUAAAAUUUUUGUAUUCAUCAUAUU